rnacentral:rRNA from 1 species
UACGGUGGGGGCAAGCGUUGUUCGGAAUUACUGGGCGUAAAGGGCUCGUAGGCGGCCAACUAAGUCCGACGUGAAAUCCCCAGGCUUAACCUGGGAACUGCGUCGGAUACUGGAUGGCUUGAAUUCGGGAGAGGGAUGCAGAAUUCCAGGUGUAGCGGUGAAAUGCGUAGAUAUCUGGAGGAAUACCGGUGGCGAAGGCGGCAUCCUGGACCGACAUUGACGCUGAGGAGCGAAAGCUAGGGGAGCAAACGGG